AGCCUUGCAGCCGCCAACAGUGCCGGGAGCAGACACACCAAGCGCAGCCGCGCCAGAUUCCUCCACCACACCCGCUCUUGCGAGUGCCCCUGCCGAGGCCUCGACAGAAGCUGCAGCCGUCUCGGCAGCUACCGCUGCGAGCACAGCAGAGGCCGGUGCAGCAGCACUGCCCGCGCCGGUGGUCGACCCUGCAGCGGCAGCUUCCCUGGUGCCUGUGGCAGCUGCCCCUGAAGCUGCCACGGCCGGCUCCGAAGAGCUGCCCGCCACGCAGGUGUAUCCGCCGGCCCCGCCACUGGCACCGGCCGCCCCUGCAGAACCGCCUGCGGAGCAGCCACGCGUUG
rnacentral:lncRNA from 1 species